rnacentral:rRNA from 1 species
AGCGAACGCUGGCGGCAGGCCUAACACAUGCAAGUCGAACGCCUGUAGCAAUACAGGAGUGGCAGACGGGUGAGUAACACGUGGGAACGUGCCCUUCGGUUCGGAAUAACUCAGGGAAACUUGGGCUAAUACCGGAUACGUCCGCGAGGAGAAAGAUUCAUCGCCGAAGGAUCGGCCCGCGUCCGAUUAGCUAGUUGGUGGGGUAAUGGCUCACCAAGGCGACGAUCGGUAGCUGGUCUGAGAGGAUGAUCAGCCACACUGGGACUGAGACACGGCCCAGACUCCUACGGGAGGCAGCAGUGGGGAAUAUUGGACAAUGGGCGCAGGCCUGAUCCAGCCAUGCCGCGUGGGUGAUGAAGGCCCUAGGGUUGUAAAGCCCUUUCGGCGGGGAAGAUAAUGACGGUACCCGCAGAAGAAGCCCCGGCUAACUUCGUGCCAGCCGCCGCGGUAA